CUCGCCGCUCCCGCGCGGCGGCGUCACGGAGAUCGCUCUUGACUCGGACUUGUGGUCGCGAUUGGAGGAAAAAGCGCGGGCCAAGUGCGAACGAGAUGAGGCGGGGAACCCGGCCAAAGAAAGCAGCCACGCUGACGGAGAGGCCGAGGAGGAAGGGGAGAGCGAGAAGGGGGCGGGGCCUAGGAGCGCUGGGUGGCGCGCGCUCCGGCGGCUCUGGGACAGGGUCCUGGCGCCCGCGCGGCGCUGGCGGCGUCCGCUGCCUAGCAACGUGCUCUACUGUCCGGAGAUCAAGGACAUUGCCCACCUGACCCGUUGAACGUUGUAACCGAGGAACUGGGAAGCCACAGCCGAAGGAAGGUGGGAGCUGCAGCCUCGCGGGGGCUGAUAUCGAGACUACUGUGUCUCAGAUCCCAGGAUUGACAUGUGAUAAGAGAGAUGAGCCGAGGGCAGGAGGGAACGCCCUGGGAGGUGUUGAUGAUGAGUUGGGGAGGCUCCUAGACGAACUCGCCCCCAUCUACUGACUGUGCCAGUCUUACAUUUUCAGGAUGGAGUGGCCAAGGGAUGAUAUAAACAAAGCCUACGUUACUGUGGGAAGAAGACAGACUGUUUUCUUAGCUGGGACUUUGGCUUUUGUCCAGGGUGGCUCUGGUGUGUGGGAGCAACAGGUCCCGUUUUAGCAAUUCUUUGUCAAUGGUUUGAAUUUUUUUUUUUUUUAAGAUGGGAUGGGAGAGAAGAGGCUAAUUUUCGCGUCAUGUUAAUCUCACUUCUCUGGCAUGUAAGGGUGCUGGUAUGCCUGCUGUCUCUCCACUCCCAGUUCUGUGUUCCAAAAAUUGAGAUGGCUCCCUGCCUAUGACUAUGAUGAGGAGCCUUGCUUCAUUUCAGAAUCUACCUUCAGCCUGCUAGGGCAGGUAUCAGAAAUUCCAAAGGGCAUUGAUAUGAGGCACCUAAUUAGAGCCUAUCAAAGUAGGAAAGGAGAGCCAUUUGAAAGGCAUCAUAUUUCAAACUUUUGCUAUUAUCUGUGUUAUCUUUACAGUCACAGGGAACACUGGCGCUACUGAAAAGAUACUUAUACAAUUUUAAGUGUCUUUAAAAUUUGUGUCCCAUAAUGGGACAUCACCUAUUGUAUAUAUGCCAUGUAUUCUAUUUUAGAAUCCUGUAAGUAUCUUAUGACCAUAUAGUCAUAGUCAAGGACCA